rnacentral:misc_RNA from 1 species
AAGGAGAAUUACCUACUGUUUAAUUUUGAGGGUUCGUUUUUACGAAUACUCAAAAUUAGCACUUUUAGCAACAGAAUAAACUGAACGCAUGUGAAGUUUGUUUGUUGGCGCUGUGCGUUAGCACUUUAAGCAACGGAAUUUAUUCGUUGGCGCCGUGCUUUAGCACUUUGAAAACUGCAUAUAUAUUUAGUGAUAUGACAUCUAAUUUGUAAUAUAUAAAGCUGAUAACUUUUAAAAAUUAUCAAGUUGAUAGACUUUAAUCUAUCAAACCUUUUUAAC